rnacentral:rRNA from 1 species
AGUGUUCGAUCUUGGCUCAGGAUGAAUGCUUGAGGCAUGCUUAACACAUGCAAGUCAGAUGGGAAGUGAUGUUUUUAGUAGCAAACGGGUGAGUAACACAUAAGAACUUGUCAUUGGGAAGGAAAUAAUAAUUGAAAAAGGUUGCUAAUACCCUAUAGGUUGAGGAGCAAAAGGAGGAAUAUGCCUAACAAGGAGCUCGCAUCUGAUUAGCUAGUUGGUGAGGUAAUAGCUUACAAAGACGAUAAUCAAUAGUUGAUCUGAGAGGAUGAUCAGCCACACUAGGAUUGAGACAUGAUCCAGACUCUUAUGGGAGGCAGUAGUGGCAAAUUUUUUGCAAUGGGCAGAAGUUUGAUGAAGUAAUGUUGCAUGGAGGUAGAAGGCCUAUGAGUUGUGAACUUAUUUUCUCGAAGAAGAAACAAUGAUGGUAUCUGAGGAAUAAGCAUCAGCUAAUUCUAUGCUCAUAGUCUUGAUAAGACAGAAGAUGCAAGUGUUCUCUGGAAUGAUCGGGUGUAAAGCAUCUAUAGGUGGCUUUUGAAGUCCACUAUCAAAUCCUAGGGCUCAACCUUAGAUAGGCAGUGGAAACUGCCAAGUUGGAGUGUGGUAGGGGCAAAGGAAAUUUUCGAUGGAGCAAUGAAAUGCAUAGAGAUUAGAAAGAACACCCAUGGCGAAAGCUCUUUAUUGAUUGGCACUGACACCGAGAGAUGAAAGCUAGGAGAGCAUAUGAGAUUGGAUGCCUUAGUAGUCCUAGCUAUAAAUGAUGGAUACUAGAUGUUGUGCGUAUCAACCUGUGCAGUGUUGUAGCUAAUGCGUUAAGUAUCUCGUCUAGGGAGUAGAAUUGCAAGAAUGGAACUCAAAGGAGUUGAUAAGGGCUUGCACAAGCAUGGUGCAUGUUGUCUAAUUUGAUGUAGAGUGAAGAACCUUACCAAGGCUUGGCAUGCCAUGAAUCCUCUUGAAAGAGAGUGGUGCCUUCGGGAAUGUAGACACUGGUGAUGCAUGGCUAUCAUCAGUUCAUGCCAUAAGAACACAACCCUCAUGUUUAGUUGCCACCAUUGAGUUUGGAACCUUGAUCAAAUUGUCGAUGAUAAGCCGGAGGAAGGUGAGGAUGACAUCAAGUCAUCAUGCCCCUAGGCGACACAAGUGCUACAAUGCUCGAGACAAAGGGUUGUGAUCCCUUGAGGGUGAGCUAACCCGAAAACCUCAUCCUUAGUUCAGAUUUCCGGCUACAACUUGGCUACAUGAAGUUGAAAUCGCCAGUAAUAGUCGGUCAGCCAAGUAAUGAAUUCAUUCCCAAGCCUUAUACACACUGCUCGUCACACUAUGGGAGUUGGCCAUGCCCGAAUUCGUUACCUUAACCACAAGGAGGGGAUACCGAAUGCGGGGCUAGUGAUUGGAGUGAAGUCAUAAUAAGAUAGCCUUACUAUAAGAUGCGACUG